CUAUUACUUCGCAGGACGCCCCGAGCUCCUCCUGAACGAGAUCUGCCACUUCCAAUAGUACGUGCACCUGAGUUCCCCAGCCCACCAGUGUCACUGCGUCACCUACAUGCAAAUCCACACACUUGAGAUUGGUCAUCGAAUAUGCCGAUUGAAUCGAGUAAUGAAAGGACGAUUGCAGAUGGAUGAAUAUUACAUAUUCAUCGAAUCUGACGGGAAGAAUUAAAAUUUUGAAUUAUGGAGGUUUUAUUUAUUUUUUUUUUUAAUUUUAAAAGAAAAAUUUUAAAAAACGAAAGGAUAUAAUUUAAAUAAUAUUCGUUUUCAGAUAUUCGAGAUAUUGUAAUAGAUAAGUAUUUCGAAUUGUGACAAAAAUUUGACUUUUAAUAUUAAAUUUUAAAUGAAUUAAAGAGAUAUAAAUGUGAACAUA